GCAAUACCUGAGUAAAGUGGCGCACGGGUGAGUAACACGUGACUAACCUACCUUUAAGUGGGGGAUAACCUAGGGAAACCUGGGCUAAUACCGCAUAAAACCUACGGGUCAAAGCAGCAAUGCGAUGAAAGAGGGGGUCGCGGCCGAUUAGCUGGUUGGCGGGGUAAUGGCCCACCAAGGCAAUGAUCGGUAUCCGGCCUGAGAGGGCGCACGGACACACUGGAACUGAAACACGGUCCAGACUCCUACGGGAGGCAGCAGUGGGGAAUUUUGCGCAAUGGGGGAAACCCUGACGCAGCAACGCCGCGUGGAGGAUGAAGUCCCUUGGGACGUAAACUCCUUUCGAUCGGGACGAUAAUGACGGUACCGGAAGAAGAAGCCCCGGCUAACUUCGUGCCGGCAGCCGCGGUAAUACGAGGGGGGCAAGCGUUGUUCGGAACUAUUGGGCGUAAAGGGUGCGUAGGUGGUUCGGCAAGUCUUGUGUGAAAUCUUCAGGCUCAACUUGAGGUCUGCACAAGUAACUGCCGGGCUUG
rnacentral:rRNA from 1 species